UGAGUUGAGUUGAGUUGAGUUGAC
rnacentral:siRNA from 1 species